CCUUGCCAAUGAUGCUUUAGUUAUCCCUGUCUGAAAUCCAAGUACUACUUGGAUCUGAGGAUAGAUUUUACUUUUCUGAGGCAAUG
rfam:Strongylocentrotus purpuratus Contig54135_fixed, whole genome shotgun sequence.